UACCAAACAGCGCCUUACUAAUAAAUUUUGAAUUGUAUUAAUAUGUAUUAAUGAUUCUUUGUUUUGGUUUAUUAUUUCUGUUUUUCUUUUUUCAUGAUUAACUCAUAAAUUUUAUAUUGUGUUAAUUUUGAAUCCAUUAAAGAUUAUGUAAAUUUUUAGUGUGUGAUAUGUUUUUACAGAAUAUUGACUGUGUUUCUAAAAAUAAAUAGGUUUUAAAUUUUUUUUGAAACCGUUCAUUUUUAAUUAUUUGUUUUAGAAGUUUCUCCCGAUAUUAUAAGUUUGUUUCUAUAAAUAGUUUACCGUUUUAAUUUUUAAAAAACCUUCAUAUUUAAUUUCUAGAUAUGGAUCAGAGUAACAACAAUCCUUCAUUUUUUAAGCUUAUUGAGGAAGAUGACCCAUUAUUUUUGCAAAUACAUAAUGACUAUGCUUCAUUGAUGUGGGGAGAGCAACCACCUUACAAAGAAUCUGUUAAGAUUGUUGAUGGCAACAAGUUAUGGUUUGUAAGACUGAAAAAACUGAUUUGGGCUCUGUACUUGGUGAUGGCUUCACCAAAGUUGUUCGGGAUAGUUGUAUAAAAAAAUGACUAUCUUAUGUUUUAGUCCUUUGGACCAUCAUCAUUCUUUCUUUCGGUGUUAAAAUUAUUUGUUCAUGAAAAUUGCUUUAUAUCCAAAAUCACACCUGAGGAUAAACGUUAUUGUCAUGGCUGAUGAAUUUUAGAGGCAAUUUUAUGGGAAAAAUUUCAAAGGUGUUUUGCUUUCUUUAAAGUAAAUCCUUCAGUUGAGGUAUCACUUGGAUAUAAAUCCUUCAUCUUAAAGUAAAUCCUUCAGUUGAGUGAACAUGACCAGAGGCAAACUAAUAGUGUUUCAGUAAGCUUAUAAAUUUUCCAUAGAGAAGAAAUGAAGGGAGAAGCAUUCUUAGAGGUAUGCUUAUGAACACCGUUUGAUUCUUGGUCAUAUGUAUCACUCUUGGCUUUAGGACACUUCUGAUAUCGUCUCGAGAAAAGACAAAAGCAUUUGGUUGGCAUUUGGUGCUGAUGUGGGUAUUUCUUAUUAUGUCAUCUGCAGUUGGACCUCAACAACAGCAAGAAGUUAUGACCCGGUUACUCGAGCCUUCGAGCCAUCAGUGAACUCAACUCGAUUGGCAAAAUGCAUAUUUCUCUGAUCCUACAGCAUAAAAUAGUUGGCUUAAUCUGGCUAAUUGAGUAUUAUUACAUGCAUGAAUCACUCACGAAUAGUAAGCAUGAUCGGAAGCUUUCAAAAGGACGUUCCUUAUAAUAUUGCUUUACAAGUUGCGGAUUAGGUUUACAUAAUGCAUGUUGCAUUAGUGAUGGUAAAGCGGUUACAGCAGAGGAUCAAGACGGUUGGAUUAAAGAGAAAUGGGACUUCUUUUGGGAUAGAUGCAAAGAGCUCAGGUUGGAUCCGUAUUUCUGUGUCGAUGAUGUAGGAGAGAAUAACAGUGGUAUGGCUCAGUAUUUCUCUCAUCAAGUCUGAACCGAUUAUACGAAUGAAGUCGGCUACUAAUCCAACUGAAAUGGGUGGAAACAUUGCGGUUACUAUGACACGAUCACCAUCACUUUCCACCUGGGUACCAACAAGUGUUUGUUCAAGAUGACCAAUGUAUAUCUCUACUUGAGGAAUUCUCCAAAGAUCCAGAGCCGAUUGAUUUAAUCUAUGUUUUCUGCAGUACCUCUUUAUAUAGGCACCUCAAUUGCAGGAGGCACCAUGAUGGAUUCACUUUGUUGUGUGUUUUGUUACCAUUGAGUACUAAAUGGCAUACAUUUGAAUAGAGUUUUGAAUGAUUGAGUCAACAGUUCACUUAAAAGUAAUCUAUAUUC